AGGGUAACCGCCUAAACAUGCAAGUCGAGGGGUAACAUAGAGGUGCUUGCACUUCUGAUGACGACCGGCGCACGGGUGCGUAACGCGUAUACAACCUACCUUUUGGAGGGGAAUAGCCCAGGGAAACUUGGAUUAAUGUCCCAUAGUAUGGAGAUCUCACCUGAGAUCAUCAUUAAACAUUUAUGGCCAUUAGAUGGGUAUGCGUCCUAUUAGUUAGUUGGUAAGGUAACGGCUUACCAAGGCAGCGAUAGGUAGGGGUCCUGAGAGGGAGAUCCCCCACACUGGUACUGAGACACGGACCAGACUCCUACGGGAGGCAGCAGUGAGGAAUAUUGGACAAUGGGCGAGAGCCUGAUCCAGCCAUGCCGCGUGCAGGAAGACUGCCCUAUGGGUUGUAAACUGCUUUUACAGAGGAAGAACCACCUCCACGUGUGGAGGUUUGACGGUACUCUGCGAAUAAGGAUCGGCUAACUCCGUGCCAGCAGCCGCGGUAAUACGGAGGAUCCAAGCGUUAUCCGGAAUCAUUGGGUUUAAAGGGUCCGUAGGCGGGCAGUUAAGUCAGUGGUGAAAGUCUUCCGCUCAACGGGAGAACUGCCAUUGAUACUGAUUGUCUUGAGUUAUUAUGAAGUGGUUAGAAUGAGUAGUGUAGCGGUGAAAUGCAUAGAUAUUACUCAGAAUACCGAUUGCGAAGGCAGAUCACUAAUAAUAUACUGACGCUGAUGGACGAAAGCGUAGGUAGCGAACAGGAUUAGAUACCCUGGUAGUCUACGCCGUAACGAUGGUUACUAGCUGUUCGGCCCAAUUGAGGGCUGAGUGGUUAAGCGAAAGUGAUAAGUAACCCACCUGGGGAGUACGUUCGCAAGAAUGAAACUCAAAGGAAUUGACGGGGGCCCGCACAAGCGGUGGAGCAUGUGGUUUAAUUCGAUGAUACGCGAGGAACCUUACCAGGGCUUAAAUGUAGUCUGACAGGUCUGGAAACAGACUUUUCUUCGGACAGAUUACAAGGUGCUGCAUGGUUGUCGUCAGCUCGUGCCGUGAGGUGUCAGGUUAAGUCCUAUAACGAGCGCAACCCCUGUGGUUAGUUGCCAGCGAGUAAUGUCGGGAACUCUAGCCAGACUGCCGGUGCAAACCGUGAGGAAGGUGGGGAUGACGUCAAAUCAUCACGGCCCUUACGUCCUGGGCCACACACGUGCUACAAUGGUAGGGACAGAGAGCAGCCACUUCGCGAGAAGGAGCGAAUCUACAAACCCUAUCACAGUUCGGAUCGCAGUCUGCAACUCGACUGCGUGAAGCUGGAAUCGCUAGUAAUCGCAUAUCAGCCAUGAUGCGGUGAAUACGUUCCCGGGCCUUGUACACACCGCCCGUCAAGCCAUGGAAGCCGGGGGUACCUGAAGUCGGUCACCGCAAGGCAGCCGCCUAGUAGAGUUCAGGCCCC
rnacentral:rRNA from 1 species